GUGAAUCAUCGAAUUUUUGAACGCAAAUUGCACUCUCUUCGGAGAGUAUGCCUGUUUGAGGGUUAGGCUAAAAAAAUAGACAUCGUUGCUGUUUUGCGGUGGAGUUCGUCGGAAAUUGGGUUAUCUUAAAUAUUUGGUUUAAGAGACUUAAAAUGUUCUUUACGAUUCCAUGAAGGUUUCCAAGAUU
rnacentral:misc_RNA from 1 species